rnacentral:rRNA from 1 species
GAACGAACGCUGGCGGCGCGUCUUAAGCAUGCAAGUCGGACGGCAAGGGUUGUGCUUGCACAACUCCUAGAGUGGCGGACUGGUGAGUAACGCGUGGGUGACCUGCCCUCGAGAUGGGGAUAGCCAUUAGAAAUAGUGGAUAAUACCGAAUACGCUCAUGACCCUGUGGGGAUAUGAGGAAAACAGGCUACGGCCUGGCUCGAGGAUGGGCCCGCGUCCCAUUAGCUAGUUGGUGAGGUAACGGCCCACCAAGGCGACGAUGGGUAUCCGGCCUGAGAGGGUGUACGGACACAUUGGGACUGAGACACGGCCCAAACUCCUACGGGAGGCAGCAGUAGGGAAUCUUCCGCAAUGGACGAAAGUCUGACGGAGCAACGCCGCGUGAGUGAAGAAAGGUUUUCGGAUCGUAAAACUCUGUUGUCAGAGAAGAACAAGUUGGAGAGUAACUGCUCCAGCCUUGACGGUAUCUGACCAGAAAGCCACGGCUAACUACGUGCCAGCCGCCGC